rnacentral:rRNA from 1 species
UCGACGGCAGCACGGGUGCUUGCACCUGGUGGCGAGUGGCGAACGGGUGAGUAAUGCGUCGGAACGUACCGAGUAAUGGGGGAUAACGCAGCGGAAGUUGUGCUAAUACCGCAUACGCCCUGAGGGGGAAAGUGGGGGACCGCAAGGCCUCACGUUAUUCGAGCGGCCGACGUCUGAUUAGCUAGUUGGUGGGGUAAAGGCCUACCAAGGCGACGAUCAGUAGCGGGUCUGAGAGGAUGAUCCGCCACACUGGGACUGAGACACGGCCCAGACUCCUACGGGAGGCAGCAGUGGGGAAUUUUGGACAAUGGGGGCAACCCUGAUCCAGCCAUUCCGCGUGAGUAAAGAAGGCCUUCGGGUUGUAAAGCUCUUUCAGCUGGAACGAAACGGUACGCGCUAACAUCGUGUGCUAAUGACGGUACCGGCAGAAGAAGCACCGGCUAACUACGUGCCAGCAGCCGCGGUAAUACGUAGGGUGCGAGCGUUAAUCGGAAUUACUGGGCGUAAAGCGUGCGCAGGCGGAUUGUUAAGCAAGACGUGAAAUCCCCGGGCUUAACCUGGGAAUGGCGUUUUGGACUGGCAGUCUAGAGUGCGUCAGAGGGGGGUGGAAUUCCACGUGUAGCAGUGAAAUGCGUAGAGAUGUGGAGGAACACCGAUGGCGAAGGCAGCCCCCUGGGAUGACACUGACGCUCAUGUACGAAAGCGUGGGUAGCAAACAGGAUUAGAUACCCUGGUAGUCCACGCCCUAAACGAUGUCAACUGGUUGUUGGG